CCUGUGACCCUCCUCGCAUUUUCAAUUCAGUGCAUACCGGUACUGGGGAAUUACAGUGGGCACGUGCGCGCUUGCGGGUUUGCUUGUGCUAUCCUUGUGAGUAGAGGUGGCCUGAUGUGCUCUCAGUCGUGAUAGUGGCCUCUAGAGACCUCCGCCGUAUCUUUUCCUGCUCGCCAGUUCCUGGCCCAGUACACUUUGAAUUCAAACGCCCUGGAAGGAGGAUGCAGCAACAAGGCACCACCUUGAAAGGAAAUAUCAGCUCUCAGCAGACAUGAAUCCUACCAGCCCCUUGAUCUUGGACUUCCCCUCUUCCAGAACUAUUCCCAGCCUGCAGUAUCAUGCUGUUCACCAUAGAGACCUGAGGAGCCCCCAUCUCAUUGGUAUCAUAUUUACAAAUGAACCCUUA